rnacentral:tRNA from 1 species
UCCUGGCGACUCAGAUAGUAAAGAAUCUGCCUGCAAUGCAGAAGACCCAGGUUCAAUCCCUGGGUCAGGAA